GGCAGCCCCAGCCCCCCCAGUGCCACCCCCCCGUGUGGAAAAUUAACGCCUGGGUUUAUUUAUUUUCCUUCAGUUUGGCAAUAAGGGUCAAGGAUCUAAGCUGAAAGACAGAGGGGAGGCACCAGGAAACCCCCUGAAGGAUGGGGCUGCUGCUGCUUCUCUGCCUGGAUGUUUCCCUGAUGUACUCUGAGUGCAUACACCGAAUGAAUGAAUUUCACCUGUCACAGUUCCUGAUCAGCCUAAAACCAGGCCAGUGAAAAUUGUAGAAGAUGACGAGAGCGAGAUGCUUGUUUCUGGCUGAUACUGCACCCUCUUCUACAAACUACUCUUGGGGCAAUGUUGUUAAAAUAGAAGUUAAAGUUGUUAAAGAACAACUCACCUUUAUAAUGCAGGAUUGGUUUAGUUUCCGUGUCCUGGGUGAGUGCAAACUGACAACAAAUUUGUCUUAAUGCAGCCACUUGGUCUGCAUCAGCAUUGAGACCCCAGUUCCCAAGCCACUAGAGAGCAGCAAGGGAGACUUGAAGGGCAAUGUUUCUAGACGUGGAACUUGCUCCGAAGGUGUAAGGUCCCAGUGAGCUCCAAUCAACUGUGGCUUGCCCCCAAAUGGGUGCCACUCCGUGCUCCUAGGCAAGACUGCCGCUGCAGCUCCCAGAAGUGUUACCUGCCAAAGUCACCUGGUGCCAGGAGUGGCUGCUUUGCAUGAAAGCAAGACACUGCCAGGAGGCACCGCACUGUCCUUGCAAUAACAACUUACCCUAAGGAUCAGCUGAGCCCCGGGUCUUCCCAUGCUCCUUCUCGAGUCACUGAGUCAGCCCAGGAGAUGCUUCCCCACUACUGGAGCAAUCCGCUGUUUAUUGACAUUUCCAUACCCAAGUUUAUGCCUAUCCAUGAGGUAAAACAUACCGAUGAUAACUGAUGAUGAUACAGCUUUUCUGCAUACCUGGAUUUGUGUUGCUUUUCUAUUUUCUGAUACUGGAACUAAAGGACAAUCCCAUCUUAUCAUCUGAAUGCAUAUGUCCUCAUGUAAUACGAGGCAAGCUUACCAGAAUUGUUAUAGAGGAGCCCAUAUCGGAGCAUUCCAGCUGCCUGAUUUAAUUCUGGGUUGCCUCCAUGCCUCCCUGCCCUUUCCACUUUCGUGCAACUUAAUGAAGAACUGUCUGCAGUGCUUAAGGGGUUCAGUGGGUCCUCAUGACCAGCUUCUCCCUUUACAGCAUCUGUUCUUCUUAUCCUUGCUACAUGAAUGAGGGCCUUCUGGGCCUGGCCAAAGCCAUGUUUAUCUACAUAUACCUAGCUUUCACCUGGUCACCUGCCCACUGGAAGAUAGAUCUGUGUUUUACGAUGCCAACAGCCAGAACUGGGAUCUCAAACAGCCCUAACGUGGCUGGAAUUUAUCUAAACCUAGUGCUUAACCCAUACUUGUCCGCUAUCUUUGCUGAGAUCGAUAACACCAAAGUAUUCCUGACAACUUGUGUACCUUACACCUACAUCAGCUGAACAAUAGAUAUUAGGUAGUAACAGGCUUAAUCCAAUUCUCUGUACAUUAGCAGAAGCCUUCGUUCAAAGCACUAUGCUAGCCACAGACACCCACGAGUCUAUUUCCUGAAUUCUAGCUGGUUUCGUUUUGUUUUGAAUUCCUGUCUUUGGGCUUUACAGUAUUUAUGCAAGGUCUGAGAAAGAAAAUCUUCUGUGGGAGCCCACAGGAAUCUACAGAAGGCUUCUGUUCCAUGUGAAUGAGGAGGUCUGACAGGAGCUCUGGGGUCCUGCCUACAUAUGUUUAAAAUGCUUACAUAUUCUCCAGUUCUGCACCUUUUCAUUCUAGCAAUUAAGCUCAACAGCAUAUCCAUCCAUCCAUUCAGUUUUCAUCAGCUGAGCCCACAGAGAUCUCUUCCUCCUUGGAAAGGAAGACAGACAGCACAGGAAACCGUCGUGAUUGAACACAGAAAGGUUUUUAUGAAGCCAAGGUGGGCAAUGGCCAUGAUGACCCCAAGAUAGGACAUCAUGCAAAACUACAAAGUUGUCUGAAAAUCAAUGAAAUAAAUCCACACACCUGGCGAAUCAUCAGCCACUUGUCCAUACUCAAGAGAAAUGGAGAUUUUUGGCACAAGAAGUCAGUACAGACUUCAUUUCGUGUCAGACAAGGCCAACAGUUUGAAGCACAGCAAGACUACGAACACACUCCAUGUUCCCACACCACAUAGCACAAGCCUGUAGCUUCAGCUCUCAGGAGGAGACAGGCACAGCGCUUGGGGAGUUCAAGCAGAAAGCGACAACUGUCUCAAAAGACAUCAGUGAGCAGAGAGCUCAGAAAGCAAGAACCUGCCCUAAGACUAGGGCACAUUUGCUAUGCAAUCCAUCUUUCAAAAUGUACCAGAAGAUUUCAAUAAUCUCUGUAAAAGCAUUAAAUUUUUGUUUUAACAAAC